AGUUAUCUGAACCUUCGGGGGACGAUAACGGCGUCGAGCGGCGGACGGGUGAGUAAUGCCUAGGAAAUUGCCCUGAUGUGGGGGAUAACCAUUGGAAACGAUGGCUAAUACCGCAUAAUGCCUACGGGCCAAAGAGGGGGACCUUCGGGCCUCUCGCGUCAGGAUAUGCCUAGGUGGGAUUAGCUAGUUGGUGAGGUAAUGGCUCACCAAGGCGACGAUCCCUAGCUGGUCUGAGAGGAUGAUCAGCCACACUGGAACUGAGACACGGUCCAGACUCCUACGGGAGGCAGCAGUGGGGAAUAUUGCACAAUGGGCGCAAGCCUGAUGCAGCCAUGCCGCGUGUGUGAAGAAGGCCUUCGGGUUGUAAAGCACUUUCAGUCGUGAGGAAGGUGGUGUAGUUAAUAGCUGCAUUAUUUGACGUUAGCGACAGAAGAAGCACCGGCUAACUCCGUGCCAGCAGCCGCGGUAAUACGGAGGGUGCGAGCGUUAAUCGGAAUUACUGGGCGUAAAGCGCAUGCAGGUGGUUUGUUAAGUCAGAUGUGAAAGCCCGGGGCUCAACCUCGGAAUAGCAUUUGAAACUGGCAGACUAGAGUACUGUAGAGGGGGGUAGAAUUUCAGGUGUAGCGGUGAAAUGCGUAGAGAUCUGAAGGAAUACCGGUGGCGAAGGCGGCCCCCUGGACAGAUACUGACACUCAGAUGCGAAAGCGUGGGGAGCAAACAGGAUUAGAUACCCUGGUAGUCCACGCCGUAAACGAUGUCUACUUGGAGGUUGUGGCCUUGAGCCGUGGCUUUCGGAGCUAACGCGUUAAGUAGACCGCCUGGGGAGUACGGUCGCAAGAUUAAAACUCAAAUGAAUUGACGGGGGCCCGCACAAGCGGUGGAGCAUGUGGUUUAAUUCGAUGCAACGCGAAGAACCUUACCUACUCUUGACAUCCAGAGAACUUUCCAGAGAUGGAUUGGUGCCUUCGGGAACUUUGAGACAGGUGCUGCAUGGCUGUCGUCAGCUCGUGUUGUGAAAUGUUGGGUUAAGUCCCGCAACGAGCGCAACCCUUAUCCUUGUUUGCCAGCGAGUAAUGUCGGGAACUCCAGGGAGACUGCCGGUGAUAAACCGGAGGAAGGUGGGGACGACGUCAAGUCAUCAUGGCCCUUACGAGUAGGGCUACACACGUGCUACAAUGGCGCAUACAGAGGGCAGCAAGCUAGCGAUAGUGAGCGAAUCCCAAAAAGUGCGUCGUAGUCCGGAUUGGAGUCUGCAACUCGACUCCAUGAAGUCGGAAUCGCUAGUAAUCGUGGAUCAGAAUGCCACGGUGAAUACGUUCCCGGGCCUUGUACACACCGCCCGUCACACCAUGGGAGUGGGCUGCAAAAGAAGUAGGUAGUUUAACCUUCGGGAGG
rnacentral:rRNA from 1 species